ACGAACGCUGGCGGCGUGCUUCACCCCUGCCAGUCGAACGGAAAGGCCCUGCUUUUGUGGGGUGCUCGAGUGGCGAACGGGUGAGUAGCACGUGAGUAACCUGCCCUUGACUUUGGGAUAACUUCAGGAAACUGGGGCUAAUACCGGAUAGGAGCUCCUGCUGCAUGGUGGGGGUUGGAAAGUUUCGGCGGUUGGGGAUGGACUCGCGGCUUAUCAGCUUGUUGGUGGGGUAGUGGCUUACCAAGGCUUUGACGGGUAGCCGGCCUGAGAGGGUGACCGGCCACAUUGGGACUGAGAUACGGCCCAGACUCCUACGGGAGGCAGCAGUGGGGAAUAUUGCACAAUGGGCGGAAGCCUGAUGCAGCAACGCCGCGUGCGGGAUGACGGCCUUCGGGUUGUAAACCGCUUUCGCCUGUGACGAAGCGUGAGUGACGGUAAUGGGUAAAGAAGCACCGGCUAACUACGUG
rnacentral:rRNA from 1 species